ensembl:lncRNA
CUGGGGUAUAUGGCUCAGCAUCCAUCUGCAUGGGACCGGGAUCAGGUUUCCUUAUUGUGGACUCCAGAGAUAGAUAUAAACAAAGAACCGAUACACUUUAAACACAAAAGAUCUUAACAUCAGGAAUUCAAUUAAUACCGCCGUAGUGCAAUAUUAUAUUUAUUUCUUAUAGUAAGUUUUGGUUGCCAUACAAGAAUUAUUGAGGAUUUUCAGGGGGAAGAGCGUAGUUACAAGGAACUUCUCUUUUUCAUUUUGAUAAUUAGAUAGUUGACUCUAAGAGGAUCUGGUAGCACAAAAUUACAUCAAAGAGAACAUGAACACAAGUUAUUAUACACAAAAUAGUUGGAAACAUCUUGGUCUCCACGUAGAAUAAAACAAAUUUGAAAUAAAUAAUAAUCAACCAAAGAUAGAAAAUAAAAAUGUAUCAAAAAAGUUGCCAAUUGUUAGGUGAAGGACUGUGACAUGAAAGAGGGUGGGGGUACUGAGCUAUGCGAGUCCUUAUGUAACAUUACCUUAUAGUCACACGGUGAUGAUCUGUAUAGCAUCUUACUACUACUCAGCUCUACAAUUCCACAUACAAAUUAGCUUGGUGAUAUGUCCUUUUUUCUCCAUGAAGUCAACAAUCACAACUAUCUUUUUUAAAGUCUAUUUAAGUUCAUCCUAAAAAUGUAAUCAGGACAGUUUUCAAUCCAGUGGCUUGUGAGGAUAUGCAUACAUUUACAAUGUGCCCCAUUUCUGUAAUUUAUACACACAUUAUACACAGAGUAAGCAAUUGGAAUCUUCAAAAAAUACAAUAUUCAAGAUAGGCAGGUGAUGGCCAGAGGAUUACAUUUCUUUCAACUGGACAAAUGUCUUUCCAAUACAUCCUAGUGUUCGUAACAUCAACAUGUGAUAAUAUAUCAUGAUAAUUAAUCUUAAACUGGGAAAAAUCACAACCAAGGAGAUCCACUCAUCAUAAAUAUUGCUUCUUAGUUACCUCAUAAAUCUGAUAACAUGAAUAUUU